UGAGGAAUAUUGGACAAUGGAGGCAACUCUGAUCCAGCCAUGCCGCGUGAAGGACUAAGGCCCUAUGGGCUGUAAACUUCUUUAGACGCAGAGCAAUAAGGGCCACGUGUGGUCCGAUGAGAGUAUGCGUAGAAUAAGCAUCGGCUAACUCCGUGCCAGCAGCCGCGGUAAUACGGGGGAUGCGAGCGUUAUCCGGAUUCAUUGGGUUUAAAGGGUGCGCAGGCGGCGUGCCAAGUCAGCGGUCAAAGUUCCGGGCUCAACCCGGUGAUGCCGUUGAAACUGGUGUGCUUGAGUGCGUGCGAGGGAGGCGGAAUGCGUUGUGUAGCGGUGAAAUGCAUAGAUAUGACGCAGAACUCCGAUUGCGAAGGCAGCUUUCCAGCACGCCACCGACGCUGAGGCACGAAAGCGUGGGGAU
rnacentral:rRNA from 1 species